UGCUGGAGGUAUCAGAAGUGCGAAUGCUGACAUAAGUAACGAUAAAGCGGGUGAAAAGCCCGCUCGCCGUAAGCGCAAGGUUUCCUACGCAACGUUCAUCGGCGUAGGGUGAGUCGGCCCCUAAGGCGAGGCAGAGAUGCGUAGCUGAUGGGAAGCAGGUUAAUAUUCCUGCACCGUCGUAUGAUGCGAUGGGGGGACGGAUCGCGGAAGGUUGUCCGGGUGUUGGAAGUCCCGGUCCUUGCAUUGGAGAAGGCGCUCAGGCAAAUCCGGGCG
rnacentral:rRNA from 1 species